rnacentral:rRNA from 1 species
AUUCCAGCUCCAAUAGCGUAUAUUAAUGUUGUUGCAGUUAAAAAGCUCGUAGUUGGAUUUCUGGUGGGAGCGGCCGGUCCGCCGUAAGGUGUGUACUUGGUUGUCUCCUGUCAUCCUUGUGGGAACUGCUCUGGCAUUAAGUUGUCGGGGUUAGGGAACACAUCGUUUACUGUGAAAAAAUUAGAGUGUUUAAAGCAGGCUUAUGCCGUUGAAUACAUUAGCAUGGAAUAAUAAGAUAGGGCUUUGGCGUCUAUUUUGUUGGUUUGCACACCAAGGUAAUGAUUAAUAGGGAUAGUUGGGGGCGUUAGUAUUUAUUAGCUAGAGGUGGAAUUCUCUAAUUUGAUAAAGACUAACUUAUGCGAAAGCAUUUGCCAAGGAUGUUUUCAUUA